rnacentral:rRNA from 1 species
ACAUGCAGUCGAGCGAAUGGAUUGAGAGCUUGCUCUCAAGAAGUUAGCGGCGGACGGGUGAGUAACACGUGGGUAACCUGCCCAUAAGACUGGGAUAACUCCGGGAAACCGGGGCUAAUACCGGAUAAUAUUUUGAACUGCAUGGUUCGAAAUUGAAAGGCGGCUUCGGCUGUCACUUAUGGAUGGACCCGCGUCGCAUUAGCUAGUUGGUGAGGUAACGGCUCACCAAGGCAACGAUGCGUAGCCGACCUGAGAGGGUGAUCGGCCACACUGGGACUGAGACACGGCCCAGACUCCUACGGGAGGCAGCAGUAGGGAAUCUUCCGCAAUGGACGAAAGUCUGACGGAGCAACGCCGCGUGAGUGAUGAAGGCUUUCGGGUCGUAAAACUCUGUUGUUAGGGAAGAACAAGUGCUAGUUGAAUAAGCUGGCACCUUGACGGUACCUAACCAGAAAGCCACGGCUAACUACGUGCCAGCAGCCGCGGUAAUACGUAGGUGGCAAGCGUUAUCCGGAAUUAUUGGGCGUAAAGCGCGCGCAGGUGGUUUCUUAAGUCUGAUGUGAAAGCCCACGGCUCAACCGUGGAGGGUCAUUGGAAACUGGGAGACUUGAGUGCAGAAGAGGAAAGUGGAAUUCCAUGUGUAGCGGUGAAAUGCGUAGAGAUAUGGAGGAACACCAGUGGCGAAGGCGACUUUCUGGUCUGUAACUGACACUGAGGCGCGAAAGCGUGGGGAGCAAACAGGAUUAGAU